UCGGAUGUGGUGCAUGGUGCAUAGCCCUAAAAAAUAUGAGUUAUUAACACUCCAGACUAGGCCGGGGUUCUAUUCCCCGCAUCUGAA